rnacentral:misc_RNA from 1 species
UUGUCUCAAACUGUAUGGAGUAUAAAAAGCAAUAAUACAUGUUCUAUAAAAUAUCUUUGAAAUUUAGGAAUAUUCUCGCAAACCUUACUCAACAGACCAUCCCAGCUUGCAGAUAGAGACUGGCAGGGGUCUGAUAUUGAUGAAAAAUCAUGUACGGUACUUUUUUUUCAAAAAGAUUAUUUGUGUCUCAAAAAACUUUUAUUAUACCCCCACAAACAAAGUUGAAGGGGUGCAUUAAAAUCACCCUGUCAGUCUCUCUGUAGACACAGUUUUGUCCCCAAUACAAACUUUUUAACUGCUGCAUGGAAUAGUGUUUUACAUACAUGUAUGUUAUACAUCAUAUGACGAUGUGCACCUGCAAUUUUUAAUAAAUGGGGAACCUUACAUCACACCCCAUGAUUUGACAUAUCUAUGUGAAACUAAUGAUUGAAUGAAAAAAUUGUGUGUUAAACUGUGUCAUUUCCAAUUAUGAAUUGAAUUAUGUUGAAUAAUCCUCAAUAUUAGUUAAUAGAUGCAAUUUUUUUUAUAACGACAGCAGUGUAGAAUAGUAUAUAGUAAUUGGGGAAGUGUAUGUGUAUUUUGGUAUUAGAAAUAUUGAAAAUAAGUGUUAUUUGUUGAUUCAAUCCUCAUUUAUAGAAUUCCUUUUACAUGUACAUUGUAAAUAUAUCUAUCUAUCUAUAUAUACAUACACAAGAAAGUGUAAACGGAGGAAAUAAAAUUCAUACACACU